CGGCUCUGUGAGUCUGCUGUGAAAUCUGGCAGCUUAACUGUCAGGCGUGCAGCAGAUACCAUAGGGCUUGGGACCGGAAGGCGUCGAGGCUAUUCCUGGGGUAGGGGUGAAAUCCUGAAAUCCCAGGAGGAGCACCAGUGGCGAAGGCUCUCGACGAUGACGGGUCCGACGGUGAGGGACGAAAGCCAGGGGAGCAAAGCGGAUUAGAUACCCGCGUAGUCCUGGCCGUUAACGAUGCCCGCUUGAUGUCGGGAAUCCUCCGAGGAUUCCCGGUGCCAAAGGAAAACCGUUAAGCGGGCCGCCUGGGGA
rnacentral:rRNA from 1 species